GGAGACGUCGCAUAGUCUGGUCUAGUGCGCCACCCUGCUAAGGUGGUAACGGGGCAACCCGUUCGGGGGUUCAAAUCCCCCCGUCUCCGCCA
rnacentral:tRNA from 1 species